UCCUUAACAAGUUAACCACCAAGAGACAGAGAAUGCUGAUCUUUCCACAAUGAAAAAAAAAAAAUAGGAAAAAAUAUAGGUGCGUAUGCAUCAUAAAGAAUAAUUUCAGAAAAAAAGAAUCUCAGAGUUUAAAAUUAGCAUUGGAAUGCAUUGGCCAAAUUUCUGCUCUUUUGUAGCUGGGGCGGGUUGAAGUGGUUAUGAGUACCUUACUCUGUCUCUCUGGCCUAUAGUCCGGUGCUGGAUUUGAGUCUGUGGGGGAGUUUCCAUGCUUUCCAAGUAAGUGCGACUUGGAAGGUAGGACUUGCAUUAAGCAAUUGGGGUAGUUUCAUUGCUUCUGAAUUGCACCUCCUCUCACUCACUCCUAGCUUGUAAAGCUUUAUUUGCAAGAUUCCAUGAAGUUUGCUGGUAUUUAGCUACUAAGAGGAGAUGAUGGGGCUCAGUCACGUCCAGGUGACACUAACCCAUGGGCUUUGGUUACAGGAGGUGACUGUGCCAAUUCUCUCUCCUCUUACUCUUCUGAACAUUUGAACCACAGUUUUUGGUGCAGGCAUUGAUUCUGGAAGACUUGUUAAUAUGCAAAUAUCUAACAUGAAGAAGUUAUCCUUGUUACCACCUGCUAACUGAGGUUAGCAGAUCAGAAGAACUUGCUGGCUGAGAACAAGGUCCUGGGAAAAAUACAGUUCCAGAGAAUGUGUUCUGACAGAGAAGGAAGAAUCUUCUGGGCUGGGAGUCUUGCUUAGGAAGAAGUCUAUCUCCCUGUCAGCCUUUACUUUGUCCUCUCCACGCCCCUUGCCCUCAGUGUCUUUGUGCCGUUUCCUUCUGAGCCUGUCUUCUUCCCUGUUCAAAGACAAAUCUUGUCUGCCCCCUGCCCUGUCUGGUUCAGUCCCAGGGAGUCUCGGCCAGGUUCUGGGCCAAGGCGUGGCUUGGCAAGUGCUGAGCCUGCACCACAGGCCUCUGGAUUUCCUUCCUGGUCCACGUUCCCGGGAAAGCUCAUAUUCUUUUGGUCCCUCCCAUUAAUUCCCGCAGUAACACUGUGUGUUAGUACUUUCGGAUGCUUUCGUACACCGCCUCAGGAUUUGGACACUGUCACAAAGCUGACGCUGUGAGAGGCAGGCCCUGGAUCUCUGGAAGUGCCCUUGGGCACACGUGUUUCUCUCACAGGCUACCCACUACAACCUCAUCUCAGGCCUAUCCAGCAGGAGGCAUUUCACAGCAUGAUUUUCUCCAAGGAGCCAAAGCUGCCAUUCAUGCUGUUACUUUGCUUUGCAAUUCUAUGUCUCACAGCUGUGUGACUCACUUGGUCCUGGGGCUCUUGGCUGGGCGGUGCUUCUCCCUGGGUGGGGGCCCGUGGUGGUAAAGAGAGUUUAAUUAGAGAAAGAUCCUCUUGCUUAUGGUGGCGAUUAUCAUACUUAAUCAAGGGGCACAGUCUUGACCCCAGUCUGCUCCCCAUUUUUAGUGCUUGACCAGAGAAGCCAGUAAUCUAAUUCUCAUUGCUGAUAGAGGCUUCUCUCCCAUACUGCUCUCCCAUGGUUUGGAAUGGAAAUCCGUUCUCUUUCCACCUCCAUCCCUUUAGCUAAGCUAAAUGGCUCUGUGAAAGGCUUUGCAAAAGGCUUUAAAACCACUCCACAAUGCUUCAGGUAAGGCCAGAGAGAGAGUUUUUAGUGAGGAUUUUAUUAGCCCAAACCUUGAGGCUUUCAUUGCAUUUAUCAGGAAAUAGGGCCCUGGGUGCCUCUAAGGUCACUGCUGUUGAAGUGCAUGCAGCCAGGGGCUUAGAAUUCCUUCUUUGGAUUAAAUGUGGUCAGCUAAAGGCUAAACACUGUUAGGAAAUGCAGCUUGUAUGUUUAAAGGGUAGGGUUGGGCUGACCAGGAUCAAGCAUAAGGGGCUGUGGGCCUGGGAGCUGAAAGUCACAGGUCCUCCCUCAAUUUUGCUUUGGUGACUUAGAAGUCAUGUGCUUUGGCAUUGAUCUUUUAAAAUUUUUUUCAGAUUAUGGACACUAUCAUUGCAAAGGAAACUGCCUGGCUGUUUGUGGGCCCAAGCUGAACUCCAGAAAGGCAGUUUAACUGCCACAGAUGAUUUCGUUCUGUCUGCACCAGAGUGAACCUGGAUAUCGUAUGGAUCAUCUUUGAUUUGACCAUCUGUUUUGAAGAGACUUCACAUAUUGAAGGAGGUCCACCUGAGUGGGGCUACGGUGUCGUGCCUGUCUGCUUGCACUCCCCUACUGAGCUGACUUUCUUGUGACUCAGGCAUGGGAAUUUUAAUCCUCCAUCGGCUGGUCAUGAGGGAGCCCCCAUGAGGUGAGGGGAAGACAUCAGAGCAACAGAGGUAGGUAACAUGGGGUUCUGGGACACUUAUUAGUGCAGCUUACUUGUGACCUAUGGGUCAGCUUGGGCCUGAUCUUAAAUGUACCACUUCCUUUUAUUAUGAGUUGUUGCUGUGCCUGGCCCUUAUGUUAAGUUGAAUAACGAUUUGAAAGAAGUGGUGGAAUAAACUAUGUGGAUAUCUGGGAGAUAAUAAUUGCUGCUGUUAAAAAGCAAUGAAGAGACUCUUUAUAUUGAUAUUAGAAAGAUCUACAAGAUACUUAGUUAAGUAACAAAAAAAGCAAGCAGCAAAUAGAAACAGUUUCAAACUGAUAAAUGAGGAAAUAGGCAUAAUUUACCACUUAGAUAUGUGGUGAUACCCACCAAAGGAACUAAAAGCAGAAACUUAUGAAAUGUUAGAAAAGGGCCAGGAGCUGCUACUUUUCAUUCUGUAACUUUCUGUACUGUUUUAGGUUUUUGUUUUUUUCCUUUUUCUUUUUAACUGUAGACAUGGGGCAAGAAGAAAGUAUAAUAGGGACUGAGAGACAGGAGUAGGAGAUGAGAUAGUUUUGGAGAAUGUUCCAGUUCACAAGCCUGUUGGGCUUUUCUGAUCCUCAUGCUGGACCUACUGGGCUUGACCCUUUUUUUUCAGAUUGGCUAUUCUUCCAAUGUCCCAUUUUGGCAGCUAGGAUCCACGGUAGCCCCUGGUGUCUCCUUCCUAAUCCAUUCCCCACACGGUAGCAUUGACAUUAGCGGAUUUAAGUCUCAGUGCAAAUGCUUCCACUGAUUUUACUCUGUCGGGCAAAAAAGUAAUCAUGCAUUUAUGGAUGCUUUUAUGGUACCUAGGGAAGUGCAGAAGUAUAGUGUGCUGGAGGAAUGUGGAAGAGGCACCUCCAGUUAUUCAAAUGUAAAGCAUUGUCCACGUGAAGGUAUUUGAGCCUGCUUCUCCCUGCGAUGUAUUUUCCUGUAGCCUUGCUGGGCUAGCUCCAUCUUGUCCUUUAGGCCUUAGCCUUCCAUGACCUUAAGCAAAAGCUGGCUUGCCACUUCCCUUCCUCCUUCUUGCUAGGUUCUGUCUCAGCUCCUUACUGCUUUCAUUGCAUCUCUAUUCAUACUUUCUGUUUCUUAUUUUUUUGUCCUUCUCCCCUAGUAGAAUCUAAGCUUCACUUCCCAUUUAUCAUUUACUUAAUAUUUGUUGAAUGUUGAAUGUGAACUUGAACAAAUUACUUAUUAUCGUUGCUAUUGUUUUUUGGUCGUUCCUUUGCUCAUCAGUGAAAUGUAAGACUUUAAAAGCAUUGGAAACAUUUGUAUUAAGUGAUUAACUGCUGAACUCUUUCUGUGUUAUCUGUAUAUAUAUUUGGUACAAUUCACUCAUAAUAGUUAAUGCUUUAAACAAUCCACAAUAAAUGUGUUCUAAAAAAAUUUGAAAUCGUGAAACUCAAGCAAUGUAAAGAGUUGGUAGAAGGAACACAUUUCAUGCGUGGUUGAAAGUGUGUUCAUGUAUGCAUUAGGAUUAGGUCUGGCUGAGAGUGACAGUAAACCACAAAUAACAGCAGCUUCAACAAGAUGGAAAUUUAUUUAAUUUUCAAGUGAAAGUCUAAAGGUAAGUGCUUCAGGGCCUUUGCUACAUGGUUUCAGAUAUCCAGCCUCCUUACAUCUUGUUUCUCUGCUAUGCAUUUGGCUUCUCUUCUGAAGACCAUCUCAUGCUCUAAGACAGUGCUCCUAUUCCAGCCAUCACUUUUGUUCUCCAGCCAGCAGGAAGGAGGAAGGGAAAGUGGAAGGUUAUGCUUCAUUCCUUUAAGGGCUCUUCCUGGAAGUUGCAUCUAAUAUUUUCCCUUACAUUCUAUUGUUCAGAAUUUAAGUGGUAUUGGUACCUCAGUCUUCAAUGGUGGCUGGGAAAUGUAGUCCUUUUUCUGGGCUGAGCCAAAAAAUGUGAGAUCAUGACCUGAGCCGAAGUCGGACGCUCAACUGAGCCACCCAUG